rnacentral:rRNA from 1 species
UACGUAGGGUGCAAGCGUUAUCCGGAAUUAUUGGGCGUAAAGAGCUCGUAGGCGGUUUGUCGCGUCUGCUGUGAAAACUGGAGGCUCAACCUCCAGCCUGCAGUGGGUACGGGCAGACUAGAGUGCGGUAGGGGAGAUUGGAAUUCCUGGUGUAGCGGUGGAAUGCGCAGAUAUCAGGAGGAACACCGAUGGCGAAGGCAGAUCUCUGGGCCGUAACUGACGCUGAGGAGCGAAAGCAUGAGGAGCGAACAGG